rnacentral:rRNA from 1 species
GACGAACGCUGGCGGCGUGCUUAACACAUGCAAGUCGAACGGAAAGGCCCUGCUUGCAGGGUACUCGAGUGGCGAACGGGUGAGUAACACGUGGGUGAUCUGCCCUGCACUUCGGGAUAAGCCUGGGAAACUGGGUCUAAUACCGGAUAGUAGCCAUUUUUAGUGUGAUGGUUGGAAAGUUUUUUCGGUGUAGGAUGAGCUCGCGGCCUAUCAGCUUGUUGGUGGGGUAAUGGCCUACCAAGGCGGCGACGGGUAGCCGGCCUGAGAGGGUGGACGGCCACAUUGGGACUGAGAUACGGCCCAGACUCCUACGGGAGGCAGCAGUGGGGAAGAUUGAACAAUGGGCGCAAGCCUGAUGCAGCGACGCCGCGUGGGGGAUGACGGCCUUCGGGUUGUAAAAGCCUUGCGCGAGGGACGAAGCUUUUUGUGACGGUACCUAGAUAAGAAGCACCGGCUAACUACGUG